rnacentral:rRNA from 1 species
UACGGAGGGGGCUAGCGUUGUUCGGAAUUACUGGGCGUAAAGCGCACGUAGGCGGCUUUGUAAGUUAGAGGUGAAAGCCCGGGGCUCAACCCCGGAAUUGCCUUUAAGACUGCAUCGCUAGAAUUGUGGAGAGGUAAGUGGAAUUCCGAGUGUAGAGGUGAAAUUCGUAGAUAUUCGGAAGAACACCAGUGGCGAAGGCGGCUCACUGGCCCGGUACUGACGCUGAGGUGCGAAAGCGUGGGGAGCAAACAGG